rnacentral:pre_miRNA from 1 species
CCCACACCCAUGUGUGUAGGACCCCAAAUGAUCACCAUUAAAUUUGGCACAGAUCUCUAGAAAAGUUAUCACAUAGGUGUAAGACUUGACUUUUCUAAAGAUAUGUGCUAAAUUUAAUGGUGAUCUUUUAAGGUUCUACAAACAUGGGUGUGGG